rnacentral:rRNA from 1 species
GAUGAACGCUGGCGGCGUGCCUAAUACAUGCAAGUCGAGCGAACGGACGAGAAGCUUGCUUCUCUGAUGUUAGCGGCGGACGGGUGAGUAACACGUGGAUAACCUACCUAUAAGACUGGGAUAACUUCGGGAAACCGGAGCUAAUACCGGAUGAUAUUUUGAACCGCAUGGUUCAAAAGUGAAAGACGGUCUUGCUGUCACUUAUAGAUGGAUCCGCGCUGCAUUAGCUAGUUGGUAAGGUAACGGCUUACCAAGGCAACGAUGCAUAGCCGACCUGAGAGGGUGAUCGGCCACACUGGGACUGAGACACGGUCCAGACUCCUACGGGAGGCAGCAGUAGGGAAUCUUCCGCAAUGGGCGAAAGCCUGACGGAGCAACGCCGCGUGAGUGAUGAAGGUCUUCGGGUCGUAAAACUCUGUUAUUAGGGAAGAACAUAUGUGUAAGUAACUGUGCACAUCUUGACGGUACCUAAUCAGAAAGCCACGGCUAACUACGUG